rnacentral:rRNA from 1 species
GCCCAGUAACGGCGAUGUGAAGCGGCAACAGCUCAAAUUUAGAAAUCUGGGCCCUAGGCCCGAGUUGUAAUUUGCAGAGGAUGCUUUUGGCGCGGUGCCUUCCGAGUUCCCUGGAACGGGACGCCAUAGAGGGUGAGAGCCCCGUACGGUUGGACACCAAGCCUUUGUAAAGCUCCUUCGACGAGGUCGAGUAGUUUGGGAAUGCUGCUCAAAAUGGGAGGUAUAUUUCUUCUAAAGCUAAAUAUUGGCCAGAGACCGAUAGCGCACAAGUAGAGUGAUCGAAAGAUGAAAAGCACUUUGAAAAGAGGGUUAAACAGCACGUGAAAUUGUUAAAAGGGAAGCGCUUGUGACCAGACUUGCGCCCGGUGAAUCACCCAGCUCUCGCGGCUGGGGCACUUUGCCGGCACAGGCCAGCAUCUAGCUUGCCGUCGGGGACAAAAGCUUCAGGAACGUAGCUCUCUUCGGGGAGUGUUAUAGCCUGUUGCAUAAAACCCUUCGGCGGGCUGAG